UGUCCAGUAACUCCUAUCCCUAGCUCCCCGUGGAGCUGCCUGGGGUACGACUAACCAUAGGAAGAUCGGCUAACCAACCCUGGUGGGACCUUGGUCGUAUGCUGACAGGGAAGG
rnacentral:ribozyme from 1 species